GUAGUGGCGGACGGGUGAGUAACACGUGAGCAACCUGCCCUUCGAGGGGGACAACAGCUGGAAACGGCUGCUAAUACCGCAUGAUACAGCGGGGAGGCAUCUCCUUGGCUGUCAAAGAUUUUAUCGCCGAAGGAUGGGCUCGGCGUCUGAUUAGAUAGUUGGUGAGGUAACGGCCCACCAAGUCAACGAUCAGUAGCCGGACUGAGAGGUUGAACGGCCACAUUGGGACUGAGAUACGGCCCAGACUCCUACGGGAGGCAGCAGUGGGGAAUAUUGGGCAAUGGGGGGCAACCCUGACCCAGCAACGCCGCGUGAAGGAAGGAAGGCUUUCGGGUUGUAAACUUCUUUGACGAGGGGACGAUAGUGACGGUACCUCGAAAACAAGCCACGGCUAACUACGUGCCAGCCGCCGC
rnacentral:rRNA from 1 species